AGCAGCCGCGGUAAUUCCAGCUCCAAUAGCGUAUAUUAAAGUUGUUGCAGUUAAAAAGCUCGUAGUUGAAUUUCGGGGUCAGCAGGUUGGUCGUGCCACCGGUAUGCACUGGCUUUGCUGAUUCCUCCCUCUUGUAGAACCGUAAUGCCAUUAAUUUGGUGUUGCGGGGAAACAGGACUGUUACUUUGAAAAAAUUAGAGUGUUUAAAGCAGGCUAACGCCUGAAUACAUUAGCAUGGAAUAAUGAAAUAGGACGUUCGAUCCUAUUUUGUUGGUUUCUAGGGUUGACGUAAUGAUUAAUAGGGACAGUUGGGGGCAUUAGUAUUCAAUUGUCAGAGGUGAAAUUCUUGGAUUUAUUGAAGACUAACUACUGCGAAAGCAUUUGCCAAGGAUGUUUUCAUUAAUCAAGAACGAAAGUUAGGGGAUCGAAGACGAUCAGAUACCGUCGUAGUCUUAACCAUAAACUAUGCCGACUAGGGAUCGGAUGAUGUUAAUUUUUAAUGACUCAUUCGGCGCCUUAC
rnacentral:rRNA from 1 species